UAGGACAUUGAUGAAUUCUGAUAUUUUAUAGAAAUGAUAAUCCAUAAAGUUAUAUGCUUCUAAUUAAACUAUUCCCCAAUAUUAUAAAUGGUUGUUUAUUUUAAUUCCCACCAGGCAGGACAAUUUUGCCAUUUGCAGAAAACAGUUAGGAACUAUUUUAAAAACCUUGUUCGGAAUUACUUUGAAAUACCGCCAGAAUGUCUCCUAAAAAGCCGUAAGCCAACAGUGACAAGAAAUAACUACGUCUAUUAUUCGUAAAACAGCUUUCCUCGAACGGCCGGUCGGCGUUGUUUAGCUUUGCGGGUAUCGAGGAAGAGAACUUUGAUAAGGAAGUGUGAUGUACCAUACCCACAUCGAAGUGCAGGAUCUGACCGAUUGCUAUAUGGAGAGCGGCGGUGAUAGGAUCUGAGCAGCCGUAGAGGCUGAAAGCGGUGGCAUUGGUUGAUCCUUAUUUAUCAAAUUAUUACCAAGGGAUAAAAAAUUGAUAAAUGUAAUGAUAAUAAAACAAGUGAUUCACAUACGAAUAAUAAAACAAGUUCCGCAUGGCAUAUGUCCGAGGAAAGAGAUGACGAUUGGCAUAAAAACAUAAUUAGUUAAUUUAGAGUAUUUAUUAUGAUAAAAUUCUGAAAAAAAUAAUUUGGAGCAGGCGGGAUUCGAACAUGGGAAGACAUGAGAUACAAACUAUUACACCCCUGCCCCGUUUAGUUUUAAAGAAAAUCUUUUUAAAAUUUAUAUUAAUUUGCUUUGCUGCUUUUUUAUAAAAAAUAAUAAAAACUACAUAUAAAAUAAAUUUUCUUAUAAGUAUCGGUAAUAUUGACGGAUACUUUGUAAAUGUAUUCGUAUCUGCUUAAAGCAAGUGGUAUCAAUGAACCCCUGAUUCAUACAACAUAUGAUAAUAAUGAGUGAUUAUAGUACCUGUUGGUAUUAUCCCGAUUUUAAAUGGCGGAGAACUCAAUACGACAUUGGAAUCUGUUAUAUCGAUGCCCAUAUCUU